UUUCGUUUCUGUGAGGGGACU
rnacentral:piRNA from 1 species